UCGGACGGGAUUGGAGAGCUUGCUUUCCAUGAGAGUGGCGCACGGGCGCGUAACACGUAUGUAACCUACCUUAAUCUGGGGGAUAGCCUCUCGAAAGAGAGAUUAACACCGCAUAAUAUGUUUGAACAGCAUUGUUUAAACAUCAAAUAUUUAUAGGAUUAAGAUGGGCAUGCGGAACAUUAGCUAGUUGGUAAGGUAAUGGCUUACCAAGGCUACGAUGUUUAGGGGAUCUGAGAGGAUGACCCCCCACACUGGUACUGAGACACGGACCAGACUCCUACGGGAGGCAGCAGUAAGGAAUAUUGGUCAAUGGGCGCAAGCCUGAACCAGCCAUGCCGCGUGCAGGAAGACGGCCCUACGGGUUGUAAACUGCUUUUGUACCGGAAUAAACCUUGAUACGUGUAUCGAGCUGAAUGUACGGUAAGAAUAAGGAUCGGCUAACUCCGUGCCAGCAGCCGCG
rnacentral:rRNA from 1 species